rnacentral:lncRNA from 1 species
GCAAACAAUACAUUCUAAGCAAUUUAGGAAAAAUAAAAAUUAUACUUGUCCUACGCAUGACCAUCUACCUAAUAAUGCACCUGCUCAUGCGGAUCGCUACCUUCAAAAUUCUAUGUGGAGAGACUCUAGGACCGAUGUGCAUCACCAAUUGCAAGAGCAUGCAUUUGUUAGUGUAAGUUUCUUCCCUUUUUUUCCUUCAUCCAAAACUUUCCAAAUUCUUCCAGAAUUAACUAG